rnacentral:rRNA from 1 species
UACGUAGGGAGCAAGCGUUGUCCGGAAUCAUUGGGCGUAAAGAGCGUGUAGGCGGUCCGGUAAGUCAGCUGUGAAAGUCAAGGGCUCAACCCUUGAAAGCCGGUUGAUACUGUCGGGCUAGAGUCCGGAAGAGGCGAGUGGAAUUCCCGGUGUAGCGGUGAAAUGCGCAGAUAUCGGGAGGAACACCAAUGGCGAAGGCAGCUCGCUGGGACGGUACUGACGCUGAGACGCGAAAGCGUGGGGAGCAAACAGG